UGGGCCAAAUAAUCAUGGCAACAGGACUUUUAGAAGCACGUCCUCUGAAAGCCAUUUUCUGCCUGUGGUUGGAAAGGGACUGUGAGUCUUUCCUCAGGAAGUCAGUAGCCCUACCUGGUGAGGUGAUCAAGAGUUUGCUAGCACAAGAGAUGAAGCAACAAUGGCCAUGAGGGAUUCAAGGAUUAUGCGGUCUUAUGAAACACUUAAGAGCUACAUAAGGACCUAGACUUUAGGUUUGCUCCACAGGACCACACUUCCAGUUCUGUUUCACUUCCAGAUUUUCCCAGUUUUCCAUGCCUUUUCUCUGGUGAUGGCAGAAGAAGCACUGAUCUGAUUCAAGGGCAGGCAGGAGAGGAGAAAGCCAAAUCAAGAGCCUGAAUAAGCAAUACCCAGCAUAAUUUCAUUGACCACAUUCAGUCUAUCAGUCUUUUGGGAAAUAUUUAUAUUUUUCCUUCUCCCUGCCUUUGUCACCAAAAAAUUUCAUUUCCCUCUUCAGUGGCUCAGCUCAGAACAUAAGUGGGAGAGUGGGAAUAAUCUCUUAGGAAAGGCAGCCAAACCACAGCACACCUUGUUCUUUUGGAGUUUUGCUUAUCCUCCCAUUUGAAGUUAUGUGAGUUGUUCUAUUUGUG
rnacentral:lncRNA from 1 species